rnacentral:rRNA from 1 species
GAUGAACGCUAGCGGCAGGCCUAAUACAUGCAAGUCGAACGCGGGGUAGCAAUACCUCGAGUGGCGCACGGGUGCGUAACGCGUAACCAACCUGCCCUUGACUGGGGGAUAGCCCGCCGAAAGGCGGAUUAAUACCGCAUAAACCAGCAGCCUGGCAUCAGGCAACUGGUAAAGAUUUAUUGGUCAAGGAUGGGGUUGCGUGACAUUAGCUAGUUGGCGGGGUAACGGCCCACCAAGGCGACGAUGUCUAGGGGACCUGAGAGGGUGAUCCCCCACACUGGCACUGAGAUACGGGCCAGACUCCUACGGGAGGCAGCAGUAGGGAAUAUUGGGCAAUGGGCGGGAGCCUGACCCAGCCAUGCCGCGUGCCGGAUGAGGGCCUUCUGGGUUGUAAACGGCUUUUCUCAGGGAAGAAAACGACCAUGCGUGGUACACUGACGGUACCUGAGGAAUAAGCACCGGCUAACUCCGUGCCAGCAGCCGCCGUAACAC